ensembl:lncRNA uncharacterized LOC110401202
AUGAUCCUCGCGGUCCUUUUCGCCGCGGGCCAUUCUAUCAUUGCGCGAUUCCAGGAACUGUCAAAGCCCCGGGCCGGCCCCGGCCGCGCCGACGACGCAACGAGCGCCAGGUGCCGCGGGGCCGCCCGGGCACAGCCGCGCCUCGUCGGGAGCCCCGGGCGGGGGCGGGGGGCGGGGCCCCCCCCAAAGCCUCUUAAGCUCCGCCGGGAGCUACGGGCUGCGGCGAGAGCUGUCGCGGUACGGACCGGCUCCGACGGCGGCGGGGAUGAGGCGGGAGGCCGCCGGACUCUCACCCCGCUCGUUUCGGGGCCGGCGCGGGGCUCCCGCCGGGCUGCCCCGGCUUCUGCGGAGCGGGACGGGACCGUGUGUAUUCUCUCCCUCUUUCCCUGCUUAGGUGUAAGUCCAGGAGCGCGAUCUCGUUCCCACGGCGGAGACGCGGCGGGGCAGCUCGCGGGACCGGCAGGCUGCUGCGGCUGGCUGCGUUGUCUUGAGGCGGAGUCGCUCUUCCCCCGGGAGAAGCGGCAGGUAUUGAGCCGUGCCCGGGGAUGGAUGGAGAACGAGCGCGGUGCUCGCGUGGGAGGAAGACGUGGGGGACAUCAUCCAGCACGGGACGAGGAAGCCGGCGAGAGCUUCGGCAUGCGGCUGGAAGCGGCCUCCCGGCUGCGGCAUCACUGCUCAGGGUGGGCUGGAACCGCCCUGCAGGGUGUGGAAGCGAAGUGAGACCAGGGAACACAGAGGUGCCAUCUGCCUUCUCUUCUUCUGCGGGCCCAGCCGAGAGCACUCCUCGGGGAUCCCGGAGGAGGUGGUCCAAGAUGAUUUAGGUGAGGUCUAUGUCCACAAAUCCCUUGGUCCUAAUGGGAUACAGGUGUGGGUGCUGAGGGGAUAGCCCAAUGGCUUUCUAACAUUUUGUAUGAUCUUUCCUAUAGGAAAUGUGCGUGAGGACCAGAGGACAGUCAGCACAGCCUUCCAACAGGGCAAGAAGCACGGCCGCCCCUCCAUCCCCAGUGAGGUGAGGGAACAACUUGUUCUCGAUGUCAUCUCCAGGCACUGGGAAGAGAGAAAAAAAAUAGUCUGAGGCAGUCAAGGUGGCUUCAGCUGGACCAAGCUGGUAGCAUUAUAAGUUGGUGCGGUCUGUUUAGAUUAGAGAGGGGCACAAUGUGACUUUAGCUGGUAAAUCUCUCAAGUGCAAGAGUCUGGUUGCUGGGAGCUGUGCGGUGUUCACAGAUGGGAACACCAGAAGGAAGAAGGAUUGGACUGUGAGCAACGGAGCAGUGGCAGUGUCCCCUUGCCUGGGGCUACGGAAGCUUGGAGGCUUUCCCAGGUGACCCGCCCUAGAGAGCGGGGCCCUUCCCAUCCCAAUGGCUCUGUUCUUGUUUCAGGGUGUUCUCCAACUGGAGGGCUGCCAGCCCCGGCAGCUCCCAGAGCUCUUUUUUUUUUUUCAGGUUCAGGGCCAGACCAAGGAUUGUGAGGCUGCCCCCCUGGAGCAAGGUGAGCUGUGCUGUGUUUCGAGUUUGUGGGUUGUAUGGGGUGCCAGGGGACACAAGUGUGUUCUGAGGGUGAUAGUGUGCUUUUCUCCUCCAGCCUUUCUCCUGGAGGAGUGUGAGAAGGGCUGCCUGCCCUUCUGUGCAGAAGUCCUGGCAAUGGUGGGUCAUGUCGGGCACUGCAGAGUUGCUUUCUUCUCUCAGGUCUGGGUGCAGCUGGUGUCCCAUGAGGAAGGUGAAGCCCUGAGGUUGGAAGGCUGUGGCUGCAGAGGGACCAGGUAGGUAUGUGUUGCAUGUUGCAGUUAUUUGGCUCCUGUUGUGUUUUUGGCUUAGCGGUGGUUUUAAUUAAGGCUGGGCUUGGUUGUGGUCUGGCACGUUGGUGGCUUGUGUGGUUGUCGAGUUGGAUGCUUAUAGGGGGUGGCAGUCAUAAGUGUGUGAUGCUGGCUUAGCGGUGGUUCUUAGUGAGAAUGGGGUUGAGGUGGGUGUGCCAGUGGAGUGUAUGGUUUGGAGAUGCUGCUGGGGGAAAGCACUGCCCACACGUGUUGUGUGUCGUACCUCUUUGGCUCCUGUUGGGUUUUUGCUGUUCGUGUGCUUGGGUGGAUGGUUGGGGUGGUUUUAAUUGAGGAUGGGGUUGAGGUGAGUGCUUUGUGUUGCAGUAAAGUGGGAUAGUUACUCAGGUUUUGAGGCGUGGUAUGAGAAAAAUAGACACACAGUCAGUGUGUAUUAUUUUCCCAUAUGUCAUGGGGCUGCUUGCUGGGAUUAUCUCAAAGAGAAUUUUCUUGGGGUGGGAAGGGGGGCACUGGUCAGUAAUGGAUUUUAUUAAUGGCAGGGGAGGGGCAUCUGCCACCAGGAGUGGGGCGGGGGGUGCUUUUCCCCCCCACCCACUGAGUGGGGUGGGAGAGCUCCUAGGAAAAAAUGGGUCUGCUGGGGAAAAAAUAGAAACCUUACUCUUCAGAGAAGUCUGUGAUGCGGCUGACUUCUGUUAUUUCUGUGUAGGUCAAGGGAGAAAUCUCUCUUUGUGGAUCAGGUUUUAGUCAUAGUAUUUAGGAGUAUCUCUCUUACAAUGUGCUGAAUGGAACUGGUGGAGGGACAAUUUCAACUGAACUGCAACCUUCAAUAGCCAAAAGCUUGGUGUCCCUUUCAAGAGAGAUGUCUUCUGCUGCCUGUCUUGCCAAGUGCCUUCUUCAGAAAGGAACCUGGAUGAGUUUGCUGAGGCCUAUCUCUGGUUUCUCGCCGGGUGACUCGAGCCGGUGCUUCUCGGCCGAACCCGGCACGUCCAACCUCGGUGAGUCGGUUCCUGCAGAGCUUUGUCCCAAGUGGAGACCCGAGCCUGAUGCGGCCGAUGGAAAUAGGUCCUGCUCUGUAACAAAAGAAAUGGAACCCUGCUGCGACUCUGCCCUUGCGUACGUUAUGUUGAAUCUCUGUACAUGGGUCUGCAAUGACUAAUGGGCUUUGCUUAGACUUAGUUAAUGCUGUGAUAAUUCAGGAGAGAGAGUGGAGUUAGUUGAGUUAGAUUUGAUACUGCAUCUCCCUGACUUAACCUAACAGCUCUUUGCAACUGCUUGAGUCAUUUAACUCAUUAGUUCAAGAAGGUGUCUGCAGGUAAUUAAGGUGUCCCUCCUCCUGCUACACAGCAUGUAUGUUGUUUUUCUUUCCAUAGGGAUGUCUAAAAUGCUCACUACUGAGCUGUGAGGCAAAGUUAAUAAAAGAACUAUGCCAACUCA